rnacentral:rRNA from 1 species
AUACGGAGGGGGCUAGCGUUGUUCGGAAUUACUGGGCGUAAAGGGCGCGUAGGCGGAUUGUCAAGUCAGAGGUGAAAGCCCUGGGCUCAACCUGGGAACUGCCUUUGAAACUAACGGUCUAGAGUCCGAGAGAGGAUGGCGGAAUUCCCAGUGUAGAGGUGAAAUUCGUAGAUAUUGGGAAGAACACCAGUGGCGAAGGCGGCCAUCUGGCUCGGUACUGACGCUGAGGCGCGAAAGCGUGGGGAGCAAACAGGAUUAGAAACCCCAGUAGUCC